CCUACGGGUGGCAGCAGUCGAGAAUCAUUCACAAUGGGGGAAACCCUGAUGGUGCGACGCCGCGUGGGGGAAUGAAGGUCUUCGGAUUGUAAACCCCUGUCAUGUGGGAGCAAAUUAAAAAGAUAGUACCACAAGAGGAAGAGACGGCUAACUCUGUUCCAGCAGCCGCGGUAAUACAGAGGUCUCAAGCGUUGUUCGGAAUCACUGGGCGUAAGGCGUGCGUAGGCUGUUUCGUAAGUCGUGUGUGAAAGGCGCGGGCUCAACCCGCGGACGGCACAUGAUACUGCGAGACUAGAGUAAUGGAGGGGGAACCGGAAUUCUCGGUGUAGCAGUGAAAUGCGUAGAUAUCGAGAGGAACACUCGUGGCGAAGGCGGGUUCCUGGACAUUAACUGACGCUGAGGCACGAAGGCCAGGGGAGCGAAAGGGAUUAGAUACCCCUGUAGUC
rnacentral:rRNA from 1 species